rnacentral:tRNA from 1 species
GGAAAUAUACUUUAAAGAUAAGAAGAAUUAGUUUGCAUCUAAUAAGUGAAUAUUGUGAAAUGUUCUAUUUCCA